CUUAUCUCCGUGCGUGUCAUAACUCUGUCCGACGCACCGAGCGCUAGCCUAGCUUAGCACAGAUCCUGGAGGUAACCGGCUCCAUCUAGCCUACUGCUCCCAAUAAGU